rnacentral:rRNA from 1 species
UACGAAGGGGCUAGCGUUGUUCGGAAUCACUGGGCGUAAAGGGCGCGUAGGCGGCCGAUCAAGUCGGGGGUGAAAGCCUGUGGCUCAACCACAGAAUUGCCUUCGAUACUGUUUGGCUUGAGACCGGAAGAGGUAAGUGGAACUGCGAGUGUAGAGGUGAAAUUCGUAGAUAUUCGCAAGAACACCAGUGGCGAAGGCGGCUUACUGGUCCGGUUCUGACGCUGAGG